CCUAGAUACAUAACAUACUUGAAAAUGAUCAACCAUCGCUUUUGGACCCAGGUCGAAAUAUAGGUAGAAUCGCGAAAACGGGGAAAUUUCAGCUAUUUUCGGCUCCGGAGCCAUGUUUAGACCCCUCUUUCGCAGCCAAAAACGCGAGUAUCGGCAAAACUCGAUUAUUUCCAUAUAUCCAAAAAUUUCUCAAUUCCGUGGAGGGACCGAUUUCGGCCCAAAUCGCAACCCCUCCAUUUAGUGUCGAUUCAAUUUUUUUGAAACUUGAUCAUCAUCAAUUUUCAACAAAAAACCCGUGUUUCCGAUUUCCCUGUCACGAAAAUUGCUUGCAAAAUAAAAUUCCCGGACAUGCCAAAUAUUGGCGGAUUCCCUGACGUUUUUCCUGAUUUCCCUAACAUUUCCUAGUUUUCCAGGUCGCUAGAUACCUUAUGAUAAUCAAAAAUGAUGCUAGAGUUUUAAGAUUCCUAACUUUUUUUCUAAUGAUGGUAUUUCAUUCAGUAACGAUGAUGCUAACAAUGAGUGCAUUUUGGCUGCCUCCGGAAUCGAUGGAGAGAUUCAUCCUCAACGUUGUGUUUUACUCGACCGUGUUGGGCUUGAUGGGCGAAUCUCUGGGGAUCUUCAUCGCCACGGACAAUCUACGGAAACAGGAAUCUCAUCCAAAGCCAUCUCAAGGCUCCUCAGUUCCAUACCUGAUUUUAGACUUGGACAAAAUUUCUUAAGACCUUCCCCUUAUUCAACAUUAGUAAGUAUUUCUGUAUGCGUCUAAACGUGUGUUAUUUUAUGUAGGAACGCCUGUUAGAGCCUUCCCUUGCUUUGCACUGGAAAAAAAACACAUUGGAUCUAGAGUCCAGAAUCUUGAAAACAUUGACAAGAAAAUGGACUCUUGAUUCAAUCAGAUUUAAGCGUAAAUCAAAGGAAUCCGCUCAAAUUAAGAGGCUUGGUUCUUGCUUUAAGCUCAAAUCUGAUUGAAUCAAGAGUCCAUUUUUUUUGUCAAUGUUUUCAAGAGUCUGGACUCUAGAUCCAAUGUUUUUUUACCAGUGUAGGAACGCCCGUUAGAGCCUUGCCUUGCUUUGCUUUAGAAAAUCAAGCUUUUAGGGGACAAUUUCGUUUAAUUUGACGGCCAGUUCAGAAAUUGAGCUUUUGCCCCAUGUAGAAAGUUUCACCUCCUUUUAACUUAAU
rnacentral:lncRNA from 1 species